GUCAAAAGUCUGCUUUCUUGAAUAUCUAACUUCAAGUUCCCACAACUGAACAGGUCGUGAAAAAGCCUUCAUCCAUCUCUAGUCCAUUUGACAAUGACAUUGCCUCGGGUUUAAAGAUGUGGACCCUGGAGCUAGACUGCUGGGGUUUGGACCAGGGUUUGCCAUUUACUACUGCAUCCAUUUGAUAACCCUCCAAACCUGAGUCUGCAUGUGAAGCAUGUCUUCUGAACUCCAAGCCUGAGCACUUGUCAUCUCCACUGAGCGAUCUGACCAUUUUCUCCAUGUCAACAUAUUUAAUACUAAAUUGAUGGUUUUUCUCACCAUCCAACUCUUUCGGAGCAUCUAGGUUCUAGGGGCUGGCCCCGUGGCCGAGGGGUUAAGUUCGCGCGCUCCGCUGCAGGCGGCCCAGUGUUUCAUUGGUUCGUAUCCUGGGCGCGGACAUGGCACUGCUCAUCAGACCACGCUGAGGCAGCGUCCCACAUGCCACAACUAGAAGAACCCACAACGAAGAAUACACAACUAGUGGUUAAGUUCGCGCGCUCCGCUGCAGGCGGCCCAGUGUUUCGUUAGUUCGAAUCCUGGGCGCGGACAUGGCACUGCUCAUCAGACCACGCUGAGGCAGCGUCCCACAUGCCACAACUAGAAGA
rnacentral:lncRNA from 1 species